GGUGAGAUGGCCGAGUUGGUUAUGGCGCCAGGUUAAGGUUACCUUAACAUGUUGACAUGUAAACAACAGUUUCCUGGUGGAGCAAUCCUCGUGGGUUCAAAUCCCACUCUCAUCA